rnacentral:rRNA from 1 species
AAGUAGUGGGGAAUUUCGGGCAAUGGGCGAAAGCCUGAACUAGGAAAGCCGCGGGAAGGAUGAUGGUUCUUCGGGUCGUAAAGCUCUGUCUUCGGGGAUGAAAGAAGUGACAGUAACCGAAGAGAAUAAGCCCCGGCUAACUACUG